rnacentral:rRNA from 1 species
AUUGAACGCUGGCGGCAUGCUUUACACAUGCAAGUCGAACGGUAACAGGCCGCAAGGUGCUGACGAGUGGCGAACGGGUGAGUAAUGCAUCGGAACGUGCCCAGUCGUGGGGGAUAACUACUCGAAAGAGUAGCUAAUACCGCAUACGAUCUAUGGAUGAAAGCGGGGGACCGUAAGGCCUCGCGCGAUUGGAGCGGCCGAUGUCAGAUUAGGUAGUUGGUGGGGUAAAGGCUCAUCAAGCCAACGAUCUGUAGCUGGUCUGAGAGGACAACCAGCCACACUGGGACUGAGACACGGCCCAGACUCCUACGGGAGGCAGCAGUGGGGAAUUUUGGACAAUGGGCGCAAGCCCGAUCCAGCAAUGCCGCGUGCAGGAAGAAGGCCUUCGGGUUGUAAACUGCUUUUGUACGGAACGAAACGGCUCUGGUUAAUACCCGGGGCUAAUGACGGUACCGUAAGAAUAAGCACCGGCUAACUACGUG